GGCUGGGGGGAACUACUUUCAAAGAUAAUGAAUUGCCACCUGGGCGUGGCAUCUCUCCCCAGCACUCUGGUAAAGAGUAGCUUUUGUUACCGCUAAACUGAACACUAAUCAAAACAACCAGCAGGUCAUUUCCAUAGGACAGAUUUAAUCAACUCAGUGUCAAAGGUUGGCCAGCAAUGUUUGUAAUCAGUGAAGCGUAGGAGGAAGUUUGAAGGGCUCUCCUGACGAGUAUUAAAGUACUUUUUUCCCCCCAAUGCUGGAGAGCUAAUCCAGAGCCUCAGAUUAGGCAUGUGUACACGCCAACCUCUGAGGUCGGGGAGCCGGCCUCUCGGCUUCUGGGACUGAGGAGGCUUUUCUCCGAUACGAUUUAUUUAGUAAUUAUCCCAGGCCGGGUGUGGUGGUUGUUCGCCUUUAAUCCCGGUGUUUGGGAGACAGAGGCAGAGUUCAAGGCCAGCCUGGUCUACAUAGUAAGCUCUCUGCCAGACAGGAUGACUCGGAGAAAUUCUGCCUCAAAAAUAAACAGCUGAAAUGGACUGUAAUGGUUUUUCUGGGGCUAGAGAGGUGUCCCCGUUGUUAAAGGGAGUUCGCUGCCCCUGGCAUCCUCAUGGUGGUUCAUACCUGUCUUCGGUUACCCAGGACUUGGAACGUGGAGGCAGGGGGACCAGGAGUUCAAGAUCAUCCCAGCUUUAUUCCGAGGCUGGCCCAGACUACGGGACCCAACACCCUCUUCUGGCCUCCGAGGACAUCAUACAUGAAGCGCACUUACGUAUACAUAAGAGAAGUAAAUAGCAGGGCAUAGCAGCCCUUGUUUUAACGCCAGGAGACAGAGGCGGGCAGAUCUCUAGGAAGGAGUUUGGGGAAAGCCUGGUCCACAUGGUGAGUUCCCGGCAGGCAUCUCAAAGUGAAAGAAAACAAAACUAAUGCAUACAUCUUUUAAAAAGAAAGCAGAAACGUGAGGAUUGGGACUGUAGCUCAGACAGACAGACAGAUCAGGAAGCCAAAGACGCUGAGGGUUCUAUUCUGUCUAUUCUAUUCUAUUAGCGUGCGUGUAUCUGUACGUGGGAACGGGCACUUACGUGGAAUUGCCCUCAAAGGCCGGAAGAGGGCACUGGAUCCCCUGGAGUUGGAGUCACAGAUGGUUGUGACCCAUAGAUGGGAGUGCUGAGGGUGAGCCUCUGGUCUCCGAGAGAGCAGUCCAUACUGAUGAGCCAUCCCUCCAGCCCCGCUGCAUCCUUUGUAUUCCCUCCGAACCCGCACACGUAAGGGAACAAAGGUUUCUCUAAGUAAGGCAGAAGCAGAGGGCCAGAGGAGGGCUCCCUGAGACCCGCUGGAGUCCAGCGAGAUGGAAAAGCCAGCUGACGUCUUUUCUGAUGGAAGAAGACACAGAUUCCCAAUUCAGACAAGCUUUCAAGCUUUCAAGCCAGAGGGCUUGACAUCCUAAUGACAACAAAGCGGCCACUAACUGACUUGGUCACUCGGAGAAACUUAAACUCACUUUUUAACAUAUACUUCCUCUUUUCCAACUGUUUUACUUCUCAGAAUGGCCAGGGCUUCUCUCUUCUCUGCACGAGGUCAGGCGUUAUGGCCUGGCUUUUGACCUCUUUCAGAGAUCCUAUGAAGGAACUUAAUUUGUUUUGUGGGCUUCUGUCUGUGUUUUCAUUUUACUAAGUGAUGGAUUUGAGGGUUUCUUGGUUUGAGCCUUUGCUUUUUUGGUUAUUGUUUUUGUUGUUGUUAUUGUUUUUUGUUGUUGUUUGGGUUUUUGGUGUUUUUGAAACAGGGUUUCUCUGUGUAACUCUAGCUGUUUAGGCAGGCUUCACAGAGAUCCGCCUGCCUCUGCCUCCUGAGUGCUGGGAUUAAAGGCAUGUGCUACCAUC